rnacentral:rRNA from 1 species
UAGGGGUUCUGAGAGGAAGGUCCCCCACAUUGGAACUGAGACACGGUCCAAACUCCUACGGGAGGCAGCAGUGAGGAAUAUUGGUCAAUGGUCGGCAGACUGAACCAGCCAAGUCGCGUGAGGGAAGACGGCCCUGCGGGUUGUAAACCUCUUUUGUCGGAGAGUAAAGUGCGCUACGCGUAGCGUAUUGCAAGUAUCCGAAGAAAAAGCAUCGGCUAACUCCGUGCCAGCAGCCGCGGUAAUACGGAGGAUGCAAGCGUUAUCCGGAUUUAUUGGGUUUAAAGGGUGCGUAGGCGGCACGCCAAGUCAGCGGUGAAAUUUCCGGGCUCAACCCGGAAUGUGCCGUUGAAACUGGCGAGCUAGAGUACACAAGAGGCAGGCGGAAUGCGUGGUGUAGCGGUGAAAUGCAUAGAUAUCACGCAGAACCCCGAUUGCGAAGGCAGCCUGCUAGGGUGAAACAGACGCUGAGGCACGAAAGCGUGGGUAUCGAACAGGAUUAGAUACCCUGGUAGUCCACGCAGUAAACGAUGAAUACUAAC